ensembl:piRNA 21ur-1112 ncRNA
UUCGAACACAAUUUGCCAAAA